rnacentral:rRNA from 1 species
AGCGAACGCUGGCGGCAGGCUUAACACAUGCAAGUCGAGCGGGCACCUUCGGGUGUCCGCGGCAGACGGGUGCGUAACACGUGGGAACGUACCCUUCGGUUCGGAAUAACGCUGGGAAACUAGCGCUAAUACCGGAUACGCCCUUAUGGGGAAAGGUUUACUGCCGAAGGAUCGGCCCGCGUCUGAUUAGCUAGUUGGUGGGGUAACGGCCUACCAAGGCGACGAUCAGUAGCUGGUCUGAGAGGAUGAUCAGCCACACUGGGACUGAGACACGGCCCAGACUCCUACGGGAGGCAGCAGUGGGGAAUAUUGGACAAUGGGCGCAAGCCUGAUCCAGCCAUGCCGCGUGAGUGAUGAAGGCCUUAGGGUUGUAAAGCUCUUUUGUCCGGGACGAUAAUGACGGUACCGGAAGAAUAAGCCCCGGCUAACUUCGUG